rnacentral:rRNA from 1 species
AACGAACGCUGGCGGCAGGCCUAACACAUGCAAGUCGAACGCCCUGGCGACAGGGAGUGGCAGACGGGUGAGUAACACGUGGGAACAUACCCUUCGGUUCGGAACAACUCGGGGGAAACUUGAGCUAAUACCGGAUACGCCCUUUGGGGGGAAAGAUUUAUCGCCGAAGGAUUGGCCCGCGUCUGAUUAGCUAGUUGGUGAGGUAACGGCCCACCAAGGCGACGAUCAGUAGCUGGUCUGAGAGGAUGAUCAGCCACAUUGGGACUGAGACACGGCCCAAACUCCUACGGGAGGCUG